rnacentral:rRNA from 1 species
AACGAACACUGGCGGCAGGCUUAACACAUGCAAGUCGAGCGCCCCGCAAGGGGAGCGGCAGACGGGUGAGUAACGCGUGGGAAUCUACCCAUCUCUACGGAAUAACGCAUGGAAACGUGUGCUAAUACCGUAUACGUCCUUCGGGAGAAAGAUUUAUCGGAGAUGGAUGAGCCCGCGUUGGAUUAGCUAGUUGGUGGGGUAAAGGCCUACCAAGGCGACGAUCCAUAGCUGGUCUGAGAGGAUGAUCAGCCACACUGGGACUGAGACACGGCCCAGACUCCUACGGGAGGCAGCAGUGGGGAAUAUUGGACAAUGGGCGCAAGCCUGAUCCAGCCAUGCCGCGUGAGUGAUGAAGGCCCUAGGGUUGCAAAGCUCUUUCACCGGUGAAGAUAAUGACGGUAACCGGAGAAGAAGCACCGGCUAACUCUGUGCCAGCCGCCGCCGUAACAC